rnacentral:rRNA from 1 species
GGGUUUGAUCAUGGCUCAGGAUGAACGCUAGCGGGAGGCUUAACACAUGCAAGUCGAGGGGUAAAUGGCAGCAAUGCUAUGAGACCGGCGAACGGGUGCGUAACGCGUAUGCAACUUACCUUAUGCAGGGGGAUAGCCCGUGGAAACGCGGAUUAAUAUCCCAUAGAUCAGUGGUAUCGCAUGGUACAGUUGGUAAAGCUCAGGUGGCAUAAGAUGGGCAUGCGUCUGAUUAGCUAGUUGGUAGGGUAACGGCCUACCAAGGCGACGAUCAGUAGGGGUUCUGAGAGGAUUAACCCCCACACUGGUACUGAGACACGGACCAGACUCCUACGGGAGGCAGCAGUGAGGAAUAUUGGUCAAUGGGCGGAAGCCUGAACCAGCCAUCCCGCGUGAAGGAAGAAGGCCUUAUGGGUUGUAAACUUCUUUUCUGUUUGAAGAAUAAGCUUGUCGAGACAAGUGAUGCCGGUAGGACAGGAAUAGGCAUCGGCUAACUCCGUGCCAGCAGCCGCGGUAAUACGGAGGAUGCAAGCGUUAUCCGGAUUUAUUGGGUUUAAAGGGUGCGCAGGUGGUUUAAUAAGUCAGUGGUGAAAGUCUGCCGCUUAACGGUAGGAUUGCCAUUGAUACUGUUGGACUUGAAUAUGGAUGAGGUAGGCGGAAUGU